rnacentral:rRNA from 1 species
AGGUUAAGGAAAAAAGGGCGCACAGUGAAUGCCUAGGCACCAAGAGCCGAUGAAGGACGCAACUAACGGCGAAACGCCACGGGGAGCAGUAAGUACGCGACGAUCCGUGGGAAUCCGAAUGGGGAAACCCAUCACGUGGAAGACGUGAUAUCCGACACUUGUGGUCGGAGGGAAAACGCGGGGAACUGAAAUAUCUAAGUACCCGCAGGAAAAGAAAGUAAAAACGAUUCCGCUAGUAGCGACGAGCGAACGCGGAGGAGCCUAACACCAGAAUAGUUACAAAACCAUAGAUUAGAAGAAUGGCGUGGGAAAGCCAACCAUAGAGGGUGAGAGUCCUGUAUUUGAAAAUGUAUGGACUAGGGUGUUGAGAAGUACGGCGAGACACGAGGAAUCUUGUCGGAAGAUGCGAGGACCAUCUCGUAAGGCUAAAUACUCCUUGGUGACCGAUAGUGAACCAGUACCGUGAGGGAAAGGUGAAAAGAACCCCGGGAGGGGAGUGAAAGAGAUCCUGAAACUGUGUGCUUACAAGUAGUCAGAGCCCGUUAAUGGGUGAUGGCAUGCCUUUUGUAGAAUGAACCGGCGAGUUACGGUAUCCGGCGAGGUUAAGCCUGAAGGGGUGGAGCCGAAGCGAAAGCGAGUCUGAAUAGGGCGAUAGAGUCGGAUGCUGUAGACCCGAAACUGGGUGAGCUAGCCAUGAGCAGGCUGAAGUUUGGGUAAGACCAAAUGGAGGGCCGAACCAGGGAUUGUUAAAAAAAUCUUGGAUGACUUGUGGCUAGGGGUGAAAUUCCAAUCGAACUCAGAGAUAGCUGGUUCUCCCCGAAAUAGCUUUAGGGCUAGCGUUGGCAAAUGGUUUAUCGAAGGUAGAGCACUGAAUGUGUGAUGGCCCCACCUCGGGGUACUGAGCCCAAUCAAACUUCGAAUGUCGGUAAAGUUAGCCAGCAGUCAGACUGUGGGUGAUAAGGUUCAUGGUCAAAAGGGAAAGAGCCCAGACCGCCAGAUAAGGUCCCAAAGUGGAUGCUAAGUGGAAAAGGAAGUGGGGAUGCACAAACAACUAGGAGGUUGGCUUAGAAGCAGCCAUCCUUUAAAGAGUGCGUAAAAGCUCACUAGUCGAGUGAUCCUGCGCCGAAAAUGUACCGGGGCUAAGCAUCACACCGAAUCUGCGGAUUUAAAGAAAUUUAAGUGGUAGGGGAGCGUUCCAACAGCGGUGAAGGUAGAUCGGAAGGACUACUGGAGUGGUUGGAAGUGAGAAUGCCGGUGUAAGUAACGAAAAGACAGGUGAGAAUCCUGUCCGUCGAAAGCCCAAGGUUUCCAGGGGAAGGUUCGUCCGCCCUGGGUAAGUCGGGGCCUAAGGUGAGGCUCAAGAGCGUAGCCGAUGGACAGCAGGUAGAGAUUCCUGCACUGGUUUUAAGACCGAUGGAGUGACAGAGGAGGCUAGCGCCCGCCCCUUCAGUGGAUUGGGGACGAGGAAUCGAGGCUGAUGCACAGGCAAAUCCGUGCACCAUUAAGGCUGAGGUUCGGUAGGUAAAGGGCGACGACGUCAAGCUCUCAAGAAAAGCUUCUAGGGUUAAUCUUAAGACCACCCGUACCGCAAACCGACACAGGUGGGUGGGUAGAGUAUACUAAGACGCGCGAGAAAACCCUUGUUAAGGAACUCGGCAAAAUGACUCCGUAACUUCGGGAUAAGGAGGACUUUUAAUGAAAAAGAAAAGUCGCAGAGAAUAGGCCCAAGCGACUGUUUAUCAAAAACACAGGUCUCUGCAAAACCGCAAGGUGAAGUAUAGGGGCUGACGCCUGCCCGGUGCUGGAAGAUUAAGAGGAGAUGUCAGGAAACGAAGCAUUGAAUUGAAGUCCCAGUAAACGGCGGCCGUAACUAUAACGGUCCUAAGGUAGCGAAAUUCCUUGUCGGGUAAGUUCCGACCCGCACGAAAGGCGUAACGAUUUGGGCACUGUCUCAACAAGGGACUCGGUGAAAUCAAGCUGCCGGUGAAAACGCCGGCUACCCGCGACAGGACGAAAAGACCCCAUGGAGCUUUACUGUAGCUUGAUAUUGACAUCGGGUGUAAGAUGUACAGGAUAGGUGGGAGACUGAGAAUCUAGGACGCUAGUCUUGGAGGAGUCGUCCUUGGGAUACCACCCUUCGUGCAUCUGAUGUCUAACCCGCGGAAGUGGAUUCCGGGGGACAGUGUCUGGUGGGCAGUUUGACUGGGGCGGUCGCCUCCCAAAGAGUAACGGAGGCGCCCAAAGGUACCCUCAGAAUGGUUGGAAAUCAUUCGUAGAGCGCAAAAGCAUAAGGGUGCUUGACUGCGAGACCAACAAGUCGAGCAGGGACGAAAGUCGGGUUUAGUGAUCUUCUGGUACCGCAUGGAAGGGCCAGGACUCAACGGAUAAAAGCUACCCUGGGGAUAACAGGCUUAUCGCUUCCAAGCGUUCACAGCGACGAAGCGGUUUGGCACCUCGAUGUCGGCUCGUCGCAUCCUGGAGCUGGAGAAGGUUCCAAGGGUUGGGCUGUUCGCCCAUUAAAGCGGCACGCGAGCUGGGUUCAGAACGUCGUGAGACAGUUCGGUCUCUAUCCGUCGUGGGCGUUGGAGAUUUGAAGGGAGCUGCCCCUAGUAUGAGAAGACCGGGGUGGACAUACCACUGGUGCACCAGUUGGCCUGCCAGGGCCACAGCUGGGUAGCUAUGUAUGGAAGGGAUAAACGCUGAAAGCAUCUAAGCGUGAAGCCCACCUUGAGAUGAGAUCUCCCAAUUAGUAAGACCCCUUAUAGACGAUGAGGUUGAUAGGAUGGGUGUGGAAGUCCAGCGAUGGAUGAAGCUGACCAUUACUAAUAGGUCGAGGACUUAACCUU